AUUAUGGAACCAUUUUUAUAAUUUCUAAUUUCUAUAUACACAUCAUUCUUGUUCUUUCAUGUCUGUUAUUUACAUUAAUAAUCUCUACUCCUUUGUAUACAGAGAUUUCUAAAGUUGAGAGUGUGGGAGCAAGAUGAAGAAACAGCGUUAUCAAUUUCCAGGAAGAAAUGACCUCAAAGCUGGAAGAGUUGGAGAUAUGUAGUUGACAUCUGUUUCACUCUGUCUAGACAGCAUCAGAGUAAGACUGAGUCUCGCUCUGUUACCAGGCUGGAGUACAGUGGUGUGAUCUUGGCUUAUUGCAACCUCCGCAUCCUGGGUUCAAGCGACUUUCCUGCCCCAGCCUCCCAAGUAGCUGGGACUACAGGUCAGCUUUCUUUCCAGAGCACCGGUCCCCAACCCUCAGGCCGUGGACCAGUAGCGAUCUGUGUCCUGUUAGGAACUGGGCUGCACAGCAGGCGAGUCCAUGUUACAUCACUGCCCAUAUGCUGGACACUGGAGAUCACAAAAUCUCAUCCCACUUUUGGCAACAAGAAACCUAAAGUUUGUUUGAUGGAGAUUUGCUCUUGUUGCCCAGGCUGGAGUGCAAUGGCACAAUCUUGGCUCACCGCAACCUCUACCUCCUGGGUUCAAGUGAUUCUCUUGCCUCAGCCUCCCAAGUAACUGGGAUUACAGGCAUGCACCGCCACGCCCAGCUAAUUUUAUAUUUUUAGUAGAGAAGGGAUUUCUCCAUGUUGGUCAGGCUCAUCUCAAGCUCCCAACUUUGGGUGAUCCACCUGCCUCGGCCUCCCGAAGUGCUGGGAUUAUAGGCGUGAGCCACUGUGCCUGGCCUUGAUUUUUUUUUUUAAUUGUAGUUAAAGAGUAAGUUCAAUUUAACAAUGCCUUGGUUGGAUCUUUGAGAUUUUAGGUGGAGCUUCUCAUUUUCUAGUUUUGUUCCACAAUCAUGUCUUUCUCUGAAAUUCCUCCAUAUCACAUUAAAAAAUUAACUUAAUGCAGAUAACAUGGGAAAAUCCUUCAGGUGCUGGAAAUAGAUUCAAUUGAAGAUUUAAAUUUAAUUUUGUUUUUCACAUCUUGAGCUAAUUUAUAGAAUGUGAAUUCAAUCACUUUGCUUAGUCAUGCUUUGAACUCAAAUAUAGAUAUUUCUAAAAUAUUUUUCUGCUCUAAAUAUAAUUGUUUCUUAACAUAAAUUGCUACUUUUUAUUAAUGAAAAAAUAUGCUUAAAUAAUUAGCCAAAACCUUAAUAGACACCUCACCAAACAAGAUAUACAGAUGUCAAAUAAGUACGUAUGACAAUGUUCCACAUCAUCUUUCUUCUGGGAAAUGCAAAUUAAAACACACUGAGGCAUCACUACACACCUCUUAGAAAGGCCAAAACCCAGAACACUGACACCAGUGCUGGUGAGGAUGUGGAACAACAGAAAUUUAACCAUUACUGUUGGGAAUGAAAAAUGGUAGAGCCACUUUGAAAUAUGGUUUGGUGGUUUCUUACAAAACUAAACAUAUUCCUACCAUAUAAUAACAGCAAUCAUGCUUCUUGGUAUUUACUCAAAGGAGUUGAAAAUUUAUAUCCACCCAGAGCCUGCACAUGAAUGUUUACAGCAGCUUUAUUCAUCAUUGUCUAUCUCGGAAGCAAUGAUCAUGUCCUUCAGUAGGUGAAAGGUAAAUAAACUGUGGUACAGCCAGACAAUGGUUAUUUUUCAGUGCUAAAAAGAAAUGAGCUAUCAAGCCAUUAAGUGAUAUGGAGGGAUUAUAAAUGCAUAUUAUUAAGUAAAAUAAGCUAAUCUGCAAAGGCUACAUGCUGUAUGCUUCCCGUAAUAUGACAUUCUAGAAAAGGCAAAACCAGGGUGACAUUAAAAUGAUCAAGGGUUACCAGAGAUUGGGGGAGAAGGGGAGGAAUGGGCAGAGAAUAGAACAUUUUUUAGAGAAGCGAAAAUGUAUAAUAUUACAAUUGUAGAUAAAUGUCAUUAUCAAUUUGUUCAAACUCAUAGAAAGUACACCACCAAGAGUGAGCCCUAAUGUAAAUGAUGGACUCGGAAUGCUAAUGAUGUGUCUGUCAAUGUAGGUUCAUCAGUUGAAAAAAAUGUGCCACUCUGGUGGAGGGCACUGAUACGGGGGAGUCUGUAUGUAUGUAAGAAAUCUUUGUACCUUCUGGUCAGUUUUCCUGUGAACCUAAAAGUGCUUUAAAAAAAUAAAAUUUAUUAAAGUGAAAAAGAGGAAGUUAAAAAAUACAUUUAAAAAUAUAUUGGAUCUAUUGUAGAGUUAUAAAAAUGACAGAAAAAGUGGGUAGGAAACUUUGGGUAUAGAAAAUAUUUACAUCCGGAUGAGAAAGAAGAAGAGUGUGUCAAAUGUCAGAAAGGGAAUCCAGAAAUGGUGACUGGAGGAAGGGCAAAAUGCAAGCCUUUCCCAUUGCUGGCAGAUAAUGAAGAGAAAUAAGAUCACACAGAAAGUGGCCGGACACAGUGGCUCGUGCAUGUAAUCCCAGCACUGCGUGAGGCCAAGGAAGCGGGGAUCCCCUGAGGUCAGGAGUUUGAGACCAGCCUGACAAACAUAGUGAAACCUCGUCUCUACUAAAAAUACAAAAAAACUAGCCAGACGUGGUGGUGGGCGCCUGUGAUCCCAGCUAUUUGGGAGGCUGAGACACGAGAAUUCCUUGAACUCAGGAGGCAGAGGUUGCAGUGAUCGCAUCAUUGCACUCAAGCCUGGGUGACAAGAGCUAAACUCUGUCUCAAAAAACAAAACAAAACAAAGCAAAACAAAAACAAAAGGAAAACACAGAAAGUGAACUAUUUUACAACUUAUUUCUAUUUAUUGUCAUUUACUAUAUUUGAUUGAUAAUUAGUAAUUAUCCUUAUAUAAAAACAUGGUAGAAAACUUAUUGUAAUAAUUUGUUUAAAAUAUUUUAUAUUUUUAAUUAUAAAUCAAAAUCUGCACCAGC
ensembl:lncRNA